AUUACUGUUAUGUUGACAUCAUCAGCAGCCAUAUUAAACUACAGUGAUGUCAUUGUGUACACGAUAAAUUUAUCAAUCAGUAUUUUCAUUACUAUCUUAAAGUUAAAGCGUGUGGUGAUGCAAGAGUCCAGGGAAACUCAUCUUUUGCAUAAUACCGGUCUUACGUCAGAGGUUAAUAGUUUUUGAAAGCCACGUUAUGCACAAACUGGCAGACCACCCGCGGAUACAAUACUGCUUGCAUUGUUGACGGGCUGUAAAGUGGAUCUACGCUAUGUUUCAGACCUAGGUGCGAGUAUUCCAUGGCUUAUAAAUUAAUUAAAUACUUUGUGGCUGCCUCUCGUCAAUAUCGACCGUAACAUCAGGCCUGAUUAUAAUUUUUUUUUUUCAAUUACAAUUAAUCUUUUUUGUAAUUUAUUAGACAAAUCAUUUUGAUGAUAUAAUGACUAGAUAAAAUUUCAAAAAAGUAUGUUUAUAUAUGUAAACUUGUUUUGGCACACAGGAAGGAACCUAAAAAAGGUAUGGCAGUCAACGGGCUAAAUUAAAGUACUUAAAUAGAUUUCAGUUGAAAAAACAGAAGCAUCAAAUAAAGAAACAGUGUCAUACAACUAAUACAUUUUCACUUUGUCAUCAAGUUCUCAUUAUUCUAGAGUACUUUAUAUUUGUUGAAUACUAUAUUACUUCCUAAGCAUUUGUCUUUUCUUAAUUAGUUUGGAUUUUCUUCAGAAAAGUAUGUUUGUAUAUAUAUAUGUAAACGUGUUUUGGCACACAGGAAGGAACCUUAAAAAAGGUCUGGCAGUCAGUGUGUUAA